AUUGAACGCUGGCGGCAGGCUUAACACAUGCAAGUCGAGCGGAGAUGAGGUGCUUGCACCUUAUCUUAGCGGCGGACGGGUGAGUAAUGCUUAGGAAUCUGCCUAUUAGUGGGGGACAACAUUCCGAAAGGAAUGCUAAUACCGCAUACGCCCUACGGGGGGAAGCAGGGGAUCUUCGGACCUUGCGCUAAUAGAUGAGCCUAAGUCGGAUUAGCUAGUAGGUGGGGUGAAGGUCUACCAAGGCGACGAUCUGUAGCGGGUCUGAGAGGAUGAUCCGCCAAACUGGGACUGAGACACGGCCCAGACUCCUACGGGAGGCAGCAGUGGGGAAUAUUGGACAAUGGGCGGAAGCCUGAUCCAGCCAUGCCGCGUGUGUGAAGAAGGCCUUUUGGUUGUAAAGCACUUUAAGCGAGGAGGAGGCUACCUGGAUUAAUACUCUAGGAUAGUGGACGUUACUCGCAGAAUAAGCACCGGCUAACUCUGUGCCAGCCGCCGCCGUAAGAC
rnacentral:rRNA from 1 species